AGCUAAGCACUAAACAGUGACAUGCUCUCAUAUACUGUUAGCUGACGUCAUCCAGGUCACGCCCACUAACGUGACUUUGUUGGUAUAAGACUCAACCUUUGUGUGUGCUCGCAUGGAAUAAUCUAG